CCAAUCGGCAGGCUGAACGGGGCGCGCGACUUCCGCCUUUCUUCUCGAGGUGUCUCGCGAGAGGGAAUCGACUUUCCGCGGCGGUUGCGCUGGGCGCUCAGCGUGGCUCCGCCCCGCAGUUCUCUGCGUGUUUUACCCGGGGCGGGGUGUGGGUCGGGGUGGCCUCGGCUUCAGCUCCAGAUUCGGCCGGUUGGGCCCUGCUUCAGGGAUCCAGAAAAGGUCUGCGCGUGGCCUGCAGUGGUUCAGAGCCGGUAACGUGCCGCAUUACACGUGGCCGUAAAAUAGCAGAGGAUAUCCAGACACCAGACUGCUUACUGCUGAUGUACAGAGAUGAAAAUACAAAGUGCACAGAUGUACAUGGUGGCUUCGAGUCAAACCCAGCCUCUCACUGUAAAGGCAGAAGAUGGCACAGAGUUCUUCAGACAGUUAUCCCAGGAGUAUUUUGUGGACCAAGGAAGUGGAUAUAGCAACAGGAGACUGCCUUUUCUCAGGGUCUGCCAAGUCUUAGCUGCCCAUCUGGGAAUAAAUAGUCUCUGGAGGAGCCCAGGAUCUGCAGAGAAGAAUUCAGCAGGAAGCAGCGGCGGGGCAGUGGCAGGUGGUGCGAACUGAGCACAGGGCACCUGGCUAACGGGGAUCCUGAGAUCCGUUACCUCCCGGUUUUAACGUGAGAGUCAUUUAAUCCCUCUGUAUGGCUGACAUCAAAGGAGCAGAACAGCAGCACAUCCUCUCCCAAGGCAGCAGACCUCUGUCCAUUGUCCAUCGCUUACAAUGACUGUCAGCAUUCUGAAGAGGUGCCUGGCCUGCAGAACAGCACAUCAAGCUCCUCCCGUCCUCAGCCCCAGCACAUCUCGUCCUGUAUCCCCUCACCAGGAGGCAUCCCCACUCGCACUGACUGGCUGGGCACCAGGCCGAACAGAACUGAAUCCAUCACACACAGCUCCUACCAGCAGUGCCACCACUCUGGGUUUCUGCACUCUCAGAGUGGACGUGGUGGAUCAUCUCCCCCGACCUGCUGGCCAUUCUUUUUAAUGAGCCCCGAUGGCCUUCUUAGCCACAAGGGCACACUGCUGGCUCAUGCUGCUGGUAUCCCAGGAAAAAAGCAUAGCUCCAUGAAACCCAACGGGGACAAUGACAGGAAUACCUUUAACCACGAUCCACAAGCGAAAUGCGCGUCCAUUGCCACGACGUGCACCACUGGGAAGGGUGGAAGUACUCUGCCAGGAAGACACAACUAAGAAAGAACGGCUUGGACAGCGGUCAGGUCAUGUCAGCAGUAAGUGCCAAACCUGAGACAGAUGAAGCUCUUUGCAGUGUGGAUGUGACUACUGCACUCUAGAGAAAGGCAGCCCUGGGCUGAGCAGACACUGAUUCACAUUCGAGUGCUGAAGAAGCUGGAGUUCCUUGGAGUGCAUCAUAAUUUCUGUGUGUAUAUAGUACCUCCUAUCCCAACAAAAAGGCACACAAAAAUUAUAAAGAAAGGUAAG